rnacentral:rRNA from 1 species
GACGAACGCUGGCGGCGUGCCUAAUACAUGCAAGUCGAACGCAGUGGGGACGGGUGCGUAACACGUGGGUAACCUCCCAUCAGAGGGGAUAACACUUGGCAACAGGUGCUAAACCGAUACUGAUUGAUGGACCCGCGGUGCAUUAGCUAGUUGGUGAGGUAACGGCUCACCAAGGCCACGAUGCAUAGCCGGCCUGAGAGGAGGAUCGGCCACACUGGAACUGAGACACGGCCCAGACUCCUACGGGAGGCAGCAGUGGGGAAUAUUCGGCAAUGGACGAAAGUCUGACGGAGCCACGCCGCGGGAAUGAAGAAGGUUUUCGGAUCGUAAAACUCUGUUGGUGGAGAAGCGGUAUCUGACGAAAAAGCAACGGCUAACUACGUGCCAGCCGCCGCGGUAAUAC